CUGCGGAGGGAUCAUUACCGAGUUAUACAACUCAUCAACCCUGUGAACAUACCUAAAACGUUGCUUCGGCGGGAACAGACGGCCCUGUAACAACGGGCCGCCCCCGCCAGAGGACCCCUAACUCUGUUUUUAUAAUGUUUUUCUGAGUAAACAAGCAAAUAAAUUAAAACUUUCAACAACGGAUCUCUUGGCUCUGGCAUCGAUGAAGAACGCAGCGAAAUGCGAUAAGUAAUGUGAAUUGCAGAAUUCAGUGAAUCAUCGAAUCUUUGAACGCACAUUGCGCCCGCCAGUAUUCUGGCGGGCAUGCCUGUUCGAGCGUCAUUACAACCCUCAGGCCCCCGGGCCUGGCGUUGGGGAUCGGCGGAAGCCCCCUGUGGGCACACGCCGUCCCUCAAAUACAGUGGCGGUCCCGCCGCAGCUUCCAUUGCGUAGUAGCUAACACCUCGCAACUGGAGAGCGGCGCGGCCAUGCCGUAAAACACCCAACUUCUGAAUGUUGACCUCGAAUCAGGUAGGAAUACCCGCUGAACUUAAGCAUAUCAAAGGCC
rnacentral:rRNA from 1 species